rnacentral:ncRNA from 1 species
AAAAAGUUUGACUCUUGCUUCUGUUCUUAUAAGAUAGUUUAUAAAAUAUAUGCAAAUUUUGGUUGAAAUUAAGGGAGAGAGCGUUUAAUAUUAUAUUCUUAUAAAGUUUGUUGGAAUGUGUGUAUAAUGAAGACUUGAAAGCAGUAUUAAAGUUUCAUAGAAUUAGUGAGAGCUAGAUUGAGUAUAUCUUUUUAGACCCGGUAAAAAUUUAUGCCAGCAGCCGCGGUUAUAUAAAGGGGCCAAGUAAGAAGUAAAUUAGAAUUACAGUUAAUUUUACACAAUCUUUCUUUUAAUAAUUGUGCUGUUAAAGAGUAGAAUGUAUAGAUGGGUAAAAGCAAUUUUUACGGGAAAGUGAGUGGUAAUGAAGCUGUUAAACUCUGGGGAUAAACCAGGAUUAGAUACCCUGUUAUACUAGAGCGGAAAAGCAAUGAUCUUGAGUAAUAAAAAUAAAUUAAUUUGAAAUUCAAAGAGUUUGGCGGUAUUUUAGUCCAGCUAGAGGAACCUGUUUUAUAAAUGAUACUCCACGUAAUAUCUUUCUUGCUUUCAGAAUUAGUAUACCAUCAUUAUUAGAUAAUUUGGAUGAUAAAAAUUAUUGGGGUUAGUCUUGACUAAAUAUAUUAGAUCACGGUGCUGUCUAUGGGCAAGUAUAAAUGGGUUACAAUAAAUUGUAAUUUACUACGGAGCUACUAGUGAAAUAAAGUAGUGAAGGAGGAUUUAAUAGUAAUAUAAGUUUAAUAUGCUUAUAUGAGAGAGGCUCUAAAAUGUGUACAUAUUGCCCGUCGCUUUCAUAAAUAAGUGAGAUAAGUCGUAACAUAGUAGAUGUACCGGAAGGUGCAUCUAGAAAUAA